AUACUUAUCUCGCUGGGAAGAUACAUGAUCGGGAAGGUGGUUUUCCCAGGGCAAGGCUUAUCCAUUGCACUCUAGAUGUGCUCACCCCUGCAAUUUCCCUAAAUGGGAGACCUUGACUGCAUAAUUUGUGGGGGACUGCAUUGGUGUUCCCCCCGC